rnacentral:rRNA from 1 species
UACGGAGGAUCCAAGCGUUAUCCGGAAUCACUGGGCUUAAAGCGCGUGUAGGCGGGCCGGCACGUCGGUCGCUGAAAUCCCCCGGCUCAACCGGGGAAGGGGCGCCGAUACGACCGGCCUGGAGGGGCGUAGGGGGACCUGGAACUUCCGGUGGAGCGGUGAAAUGCGUUGAGAUCGGAAGGAACGCCCGUGGCGAAAGCGAGGUCCUGGACGCCUGCUGACGCUGAGACGCGAAAGCCAGGGGAGCGAACGGG